rnacentral:rRNA from 1 species
CUACGGGUCGCUGCAGUGAGGAAUAUUGCACAAUGGGGGGAACCCUGAUGCAGCAACGCCGCGUGGAGGAUGACGCAUUUCGGUGUGUAAACUCCUUUUAUAUGUCAAGAAAAUGACGGUAGCAUAUGAAUAAGCGCCGGCUAACUCCGUGCCAGCAGCCGCGGUAAUACGGAGGGUGCAAGCGUUACUCGGAAUCACUGGGCGUAAAGGACGCGUAGGCGGGUUGGAAAGUCAGGUGUGAAAUCCUACAGCUUAACUGUAGAACUGCACUUGAAACUUCUAAUCUAGAGUAUGGGAGGGGGAGAUGGAACUAGUGGUGUAGGGGUAAAAUCCGUAGAUAUCACUAGGAAUACCUAAAGCGAAGGCGAUCUCCUGGAACAUUACUGACGCUAAGGCGUGAAAGCGUGGGGAGCAAACAGGAUUAGAUACCCCGGUAGUC